rnacentral:SRP_RNA from 1 species
GCUGGGUGUGGUGGCGCACGCCUGUAAUCCCAGCUACUGGGGAGGCUGAGGCAGGAUAAUCACUUGAACCCAGGAGGCAGAGGUUGCAGUGAGCUGAGAUCACGCCACUGCACCGCAGCCUGGGUGACAGAGUGACUUUGUCUCAA